UACAGAGGGUGCGAGCGUUAAUCGGAAUUACUGGCGUAAAGCGCGCGUAGGCGGCUUUGCAAGUCGGGUGUGAAAUCUUGGAGCUUAACUCCGAAACUGCAUUCGAUACUGCCGUGCUUGAGGACUGGAGAGGAGACUGGAAUUACGGUGUAGCGGUGAAGUGCGUAGAUAUCGGAAGGAACACCAGUGGCGAAAGCGGCUUCCUGGUCCAGCACCGACGUUCAGGCACGAAAGCGUGGGGAGCAAACAGGAU
rnacentral:rRNA from 1 species